rnacentral:rRNA from 1 species
CCUACGGGAGACUGCAGUGGGGGAUAUUGCACAAUGGGGGAAACCCUGAUGCAGCGACGCCGCGUGGGCGAAGAAGUAUUUCGGGAUGUAAAGCCCUAUCAGCAGGGAAGAAGAAAUGACGGUACUUGAGUAAGCAGCACCGGCUAAAUACGUGCCAGCAGCCGCGGUAAUACGUAUGGUGCAAGCGUUAUCCGGAUUUACGGGGUGUAAAGGGAGCGCAGGCGGCACGGCAAGCCUGAUGUGAAAGCCCGCGGCCCAACCGAGGGACUGCAUUGGGAACUACCGGGCUGGAGUGCCGGAGAGGUAGGCGGAAUUCCUAGUGUAGCGGUGAAAUGCGUAGAUAUUAGGAGGAACACCAGUGGCGAAGGCGGCCUACUGGACGGUGACUGACGCUGAGGCUCGAAAGCGUGGGGAGCAAACAGGAUUAGAUACCCUAGUAGUC